rnacentral:rRNA from 1 species
GAUGAACGCUAGCGGCAGGCUUAAUACAUGCAAGUUGAGGGGCAGCAUGAUAUACGCGAGUAUAUUGAUGGCGACCGGCGGACGGGUGAGUAAUAGGUAGGAGACCUACCUCAUACAGGGGGAUAGCAUAGAGAAAUCUGUGGUAAUACCCCAUGAGGUUAUAUGAAUAGAGGCAUAUAAUCAAAGCAUAAGCGAUUAUGCGGUAUGAGAGGGGCCUACUGACCAUUAGCUAGUUGGUGAGGUAAGGGCUCACCAAGGCGAAGAUGGUUAGGGGUUUUGAGAGAGAGACCCCCCACAUUGGAACUGAGAGACGGUCCAGACUCCUACGGGAGGCAGCAGUAGGGAAUAUUGGGCAAUGGGCGAAAGCCUGACCCAGCAUGCCGCGUGAAGGAAGACGGCCUUAUGGGUUGUAAACUUCUUUACUACGCGAAUAGAGGUUAGUACGAGAUACUAAUAGGAAGGUAGUGUAGUAAAAGCACCGGCUAACUCCGUG